AUUGAACGCUGGCGGCAGGCCUAACACAUGCAAGUCGAACGAGUGGCGGACGGGUGAGUAAUGUCUGGGAAACUGCCUGAUGGAGGGGGAUAACUACUGGAAACGGUAGCUAAUACCGCAUACCAUCAGAUGUGCCCAGAUGGGAUUAGCUUGUUGGUGGGGUAACGGCUCACCAAGGCGACGAUCCCUAGCUGGUCUGAGAGGAGGACCAGCCACACUGGAACUGAGCCAGGGUCCAGAUUCCUCCGGGAGGCAGCAGUGGGGAAUAUUGGCCAAUGGGCGAAAGCCUGAUGCAGCCCUGCCGCUUGUAUGAAGAAGGCCUUCGGGUUGUAAAGUACUUUCAUCGGGGAGGCGUUACCCGCAGAAGAAGCACCGGCUAACUCCGUGCCAGCAGCCGCGGUAAUUC
rnacentral:rRNA from 1 species